UACGAAGGGGGCGAGCGUUGGUCGGAAUUACUGGGCGUAAAGGGCGCGUAGGCGGCGACUCAAGUUAGAUGUGAAAGUCCUGGGCUUAACCUGGGGACUGCAUUUGAUACUGGGUUGCUUGAAUUCGGGAGAGGAUAGCGGAAUUCCCAGUGUAGAGGUGAAAUUCGUAGAUAUUGGGAAGAACACCGGUGGCGAAGGCGGCUAUCUGGACCGACAUUGACGCUGAGGCGCGAAAGCGUGGAGAGCAAACAGG
rnacentral:rRNA from 1 species